rnacentral:lncRNA from 1 species
AAAAUCGUAUUUAUAAACUUUUACCGAAAAUGUUUUACUUCAAAGAAAAUACAUAUCAAGCCAAUAUAUAGUAGUUUCAAAAUUCUUCAAACUCACAAGGUCUUACAUCCAUAUCGUCAUGUAUAACCUUAAUCCUUUCCAACUCAUAUGUUAUUACUUCGACGAAUCCUAAAGUUGAGGUACGGGAUGUAACAUCCUUCCCCCUUUAAAAACAUUCGUCCUCGAAUGUUAACUCUUUGAUAUUUUCAAAACUUUCACUAAGGUCUCCUCUAUAUAUUAAACUAAAAUCCAACCUCUAUGUGAGCUCUGGACUAUUCACAACCUUUUGUACUUGAAUAUCUCGUAUCUUCUUCACCUUUAACUUACUUAUCUUUCAAUCUCUCAUCGUAUCUUAUGUUUUUUUUUUCAUAAUCUCCCUUCCACAUUACGCUUUAAAGCUCUACUGUGAUAGCACCUUUGGUGCAUAUAAAAUUUAGUGAAAGCUUGAUACUGACUUCUUACGACUUAGCUCUAUGGCACGAUUUGAAAACAAAAGAACGGUAACAUUUCUUAAAUGCCCUAUAGCCUCUCAAUUAUAAAUGUGGCGCACAAUACACCCAUAAGUGAAACUCAACUAGGCACGUCUUUGUAGAUUCCCUAGGACACGAACCGCUCUGAUACCACUUUGUCACGCCCCGAACCUGGGAGGUGUGGCUGACACCCGGUACCGUAGUGGUCCAAGCGAACCACUUUGUAACUCAUUCAUUCCUUUUGUAACUAUCAUGGGCCAACAUGGGCACAACUCGAAAUGUACAACUGUAAGUGAAAAACACUAUUUCGCUGAAGCAUUUUUUUUAAAAACAAGAAUAAAUAUGGGCCAGCAAGGCCUCUCACAUACUGUGAAAAGUGAAUAUGUGUCUACAAAGCCUCUAAGAUUAUUCAACAUCAUGGGAUAGGGUACCAGCCUACCCAUAUGUCUGUAAAAAAACUCUGACACGAUAACUCAUAGACUCGACUGCACUCUGAAAGAGGUGGAGUCUUACCGAUCCGUCGUUGAACGCAGACCUCGUCUAUUGUGAGGGUUCGUCAAUCUGAUUAUAUAUACUUGCAGACAUGAGUGCAGCGUCCCCAACAAAAGGACGUCAGUACGAAUAAUGUACUGAGUAUGUAAGGCAGAACUAAAACAUAACAGUAAGUUAAAAUUAAUUAAGGACAUAGAAAAAAUAUAGAGUAAAUGACUCAACCUAUAAAUCUGAAUAGCUCUGUAAAUCAUGAAAUAUUUAUAGUAUCAUGCAUAUGCGUAUAAAUAUCAUGUAAUGCAUAGGUCUGUAUGUACAUAACAUCAUAAAGUCUGAGAAGACAUCCCAUCAUAUCAUCUCAGCCACUUUGGACAAAUCAUCAACGUAUACCAGCUGAUCGGGUGGUGGUGCGUAUAUAAGGUCAUAACCUUUUUCCAUAUUCCAUAUACAUAUAUAUACAUAUAUAACGCCUCCAUGUGAGUCAUCGGUAAAUGCAACAUGUGAAUGAAUGAGAUGCAUGAGAAGUACGUUAAUAAAAUCUUUCGGAAUGGCAUAAGACCAUUAUGCAUUUGAUUAAUAUCAUGAAAUAAACAUUACCAACUUGUGUAUUUUCUGAGACCCAUGAACAUAUGAUUAAAUAAUAGAACACAGGGGAAUUCAAGAAUAUAGGCACCUCUAAUACUUUUAUGAAUAGCGUUAUUUAUGGAAGUUGUACUUUUUCUCGUUUUGUUUGUAUUGUAUGGAUCAUGCCAAAAGAAAGAAUGGAUAGCCUUAACAUACAUAUUUUUGUAAAUUUGAACACCUCUUAAAUUUGGCAAAAAUCCCAAAGAAGUAGGAAUUGAACCACCUAUUUCAUUAUCAUGUAAACUAAGUUUUCUGAGAGCUUGAAACUGACCAAUUUUUUUCACUUAGUCUACCACUUAGUCCUUUUAAUGGAAUCUUGAUUAGAAUAACUUGACCUUGAGCACAUUUAAUACCAACCCAACUUCCUAAACAAGCUCCAACUCCAGUGUCAUUCCAACUUUUUAAGAUAUUGAACAAACAAUAUUUCUUCAUUCAGGGUAACUCAUCAGCCAUAUUAUUGGUUAUCGACCUCAGGUUAGAGAACUUCUUAGUUUAUCAUUAUUCCACUCCCGCAGUGGAGUUUAGAGAACAAACACACAAGUGCACCGAGUCUGACGCAUGACAACUCCAAGCAUCUUUCAGCUUUAAGUGUAUCUUUUCAUUCUUUCCUAUUUUUGCAUAGGUUGACAUAGGAGAACAUUUAAGUGAAAUAUAUGUGCACAAAAGUCAGAAAAUACAUUCAUGAAUGGCACAUCAUGAACUGUAAGAAUAUCUAGACAGGAGUGAAGACCAUGAAAUGGUAAAAUGUCACAUUCUUGCUCUUAUUGAAUGGUGUAGGUAAUGAUCAUAUUCCUUUUCCACAUGAUGAGAUUAGAAUUUGUGGAAAAUACUUUUCUCCAUGAUUAUAUAUAGGGGAAUGCAUUAUACUAGCCAACAAUAUGAGAACAUGCCGCCACCAUUCAAUAUCAAUCUUUCAUAUUCAAGAUCUCCUAUUCCACUCUCCACAUGCAGAAUUUCUGUCACUUCCCAUUGAUUGGUAUCAAGAUCAGAUUCAAACGACAUAUUUGUGUGAUUUACCCAUAAUUUUAAAAAUGGGUCAAAAAGUUGGCAUUAAGGAACUUCAGAGCCUAAAAGUAGGUCCAGUAACCUUUCAUGAGAUAUAUCAUUGAAAAUAAUCCAUUAAAAUUUUAAAAGAAUGUCUACAAAUGUGCAUUAUCUCACUCAGAAUAACUUGCUUAGUAUGCUCUUAUAAUAUGACACAUUUACACAUGGUAUAUGAGUCACUUUAUAGACCAUAGCUGGCGGCCACGUUGAUGCACUAAAGCUUAUCCAAAUUUAUCAAUCCUCACUAAUCCAAUAAUUAACCAAUUACCCAUUUAAUUAUAAAUUAUUUCAAAUUACUUAAAAUUCUACUUAUUUUUAAUACACUUUACAAAUCCUACUAUCAUUGUCAUAUGGUACCAUAUAAAAUUAAUACAUACAUUAUUAUUUCAUUAAAAUAUCCAUAUAAAAAUACAUAUAUUUUCUUAACUUAUGAUUUUCCUAAUCUCAUAUAAAGAGUAAAAAUUCGCGUACGCUUAAUUCUUAAAACGGAAAUUUUUAGCUUUGUGACGAUAAUUCGAUAAUUUCACUUAAGACCAUAUACAAAUAUUAAAGAUAUUAGGUAUGUGCUUCCACAUCUAUUUGUCUAUCUUCGAUGUCUAAUUGUCUAUCGACGUGAAAGCAUUCCAGGUGCUAAGAUUAGAUCAAAAGUCUUCUGAUCCAUAUCCUAUGAAAAAACCAUAGGUCUUCGACUAGGUUAGAUUACCAUAAAAAUACUAUUUACUCUUAUGAUAAAUAAAACCUCAUUUAUAAACUCCCACAUGUCAUGUAUAUAAUUUAAAACUUAUUAUAACCAUAUAAAAUCGUAUUUAUAAACUUUUACCGAAAAUGGUUUACUUCAAAAAAAAUACAUAUCAAGCCAAUAUAUAGUAGUUCCAAAAUUCUUCAAACUCACAAGGUCUUACAUCCAUAUCAUCAUGUAUAACCUUAAUCCUUUCCAACUCAUAUGUUAUUACUUCGACGAAUCCUAAAGUUGAGGUACGGGAUGUAACAUCCUUCCCCCUUUAAAAACAUUCGUCCUCGAAUGUUAACUCUUUGAUAUUUUCAAAACUUUCACUAAGGUCUCCUCUAUAUAUUAAACUAAAACUCAACCUCUAUCUGAGCUCUAGACUAUUCACAACCUUUUGUACUUGAAUAUCUCGUAUCUUCUUCACCUUUAACUUACUUACCUUUCAAUCUCUCAUCGUAUCUUCUAAUUUUUUUUUCAUAAUCUCCCUUCCACAUUACGCCUUAAAGCUCUACUGUGAUAGCACCUUUGGUGCAUAUAAAAUUUAGUGAAAGCUUGAUACUGACUUCUUACGACUUAGCUCUAUGACACGAUUUGGAAACAAAAGAAGGGUAACAUUUCUUAAAUGCCCUAUAGCCUCUCAAUUAUAAAUGUGGCGCACAAUAACCCAUAAGUGAAACUCUACUAAGCACGGCUUUGUAGACUCCCUAGGACACGACCCGCUCUGAUACCACUUUGUCACGCCCCGAACCUGGGAGGUGUGGCUGACAUCUGGUACCGUAGUGGUCCGAGCGAACCACUUUGAAACUCAUUCAUUCCUUUUGUAACUAUCAUGAGCCAACAUGAGCACAACUCGAAAUGUACAACUGUAAGUGAAAAACACUAUUUCGCUGAACCAUUUUUUUUAAAACAAGAAUUAAUAUGGGCCGACAAGGCCUCUCACAUACUGUGAAAAGUGAAUAUGUGUCUACAAAGCCUCUAAGAUUAUUCAACAUCAAAUGGGAUUGGGUACCAGCCUACCCAUAUGUCUGUAGAAAAACUCUGACACGAUAACUCAUAGACUCGACUGCACUCUGAAUGAGGUGGAGUCUUACCGAUCCGUCGUUGAACGCAGACCUCGUCUAUUGUGAGGGUUCGUCAAUCAGAUUAUAUAUACUUGCAGACAUGAGUGCAGCGUCCCCAACAAAAGGACGUCAAUACGAAUAAUGUACUGAGUAUGUAAGGCAGAACUAAAACAUAACAGUAAGUUAAUAAAAACUAAGGACAUAGAAAAAAUAUUGAGUAAAUGACUCAACCUAUAAAUCUGAAUAGCUCUGUAAAUCAUGAAAUAUUUAUAGUAUCAUGCAUAUGCGUAUAAAUAUCAUGUAAUGCAUAGGUCUGUAUGUACAUAACAUCAUAAAGUCUCAGAGGGCAUCCCAUCAUAUCAUCUCAGCCACAUUGGGCAAAUCAUCAACGUAUACCAGCUGAUCGGGUGGUAUUGCGUAUAAAAGGCCAUAACCUUUUUCCAUAUUCCAUAUACAUAUAUAUAUAUAUACAUAUAUACGCUUAUAUAACGCCAUGUGAGUCAUGGGUAAAUGCAACAUGUGAAUGAAUGCGAUGCAUGAGAAGUACGUUAAUAAAAUCUUUCGGAAUGUCAUAAGACCAUUAUGCAUUUGAUUAAUAUCAUGAAAUAAACAUUACCAACUUGUGUAUUUUCUGAGACCCAUGAACAUAUGAUUAAAUAAUAGGACACAGGGGAAUUCAAGAAUAUAGACACCUCUAAUACUUUUAUGAAUAGAUCAUGCCAAAAGAAAGAAUGGAUAGCCUUUACAUACAUAUUUUUGUAAAUUUGAACACCUCUUAAAUCUGGCAAAAAUCCCAAAGAAGUAGGAAUUGAACCACCUAUUCAUUAUCAUGUAAAUUAAGUUUUCUGAGAGCUUGAAACUGACCAAUUUUUUUCACUUAGUCUACCACUUAGUCCUUUUAAUGGAAUCUUGAUUACAAUAACUUGACCUUCAGCAUAUUUAAUACCAACCCAACUUCCUAAACAAGCUCCAACUCCAGUGUCAUUCCAACUUUUUAAGAUAUUGAACAAACAAUAUUUCUUCAUUCAGGGUAACUCAUCAGCCAUAUUAUUGGUUGUCGACCUCAGGUUAGAGAACUUCUUAGUUUAUCAUUAUUCCACUCCCGCAGUGCAGUUUAGAGAACAAACACACAAGUGCACUGAGUCUGACGCAUGACAACUCCAAGCAUCUUUCAGCUUUAAGUGUAUCUUUUCAUUCUUUCCUAUUUUUGCAUAGGUUGACAUAGGAGAACAUUUAAGUGAAAUAUAUGUGCACAAAUGUCAGAAAAUACAUUCAUGAAUGGCACAUCAUGAACUGUAAGAAUAUCUAGACAGGAGUGAAGACCAUGAAAUGGUAAAAUGUCACAUUCUGGCUCUUAUUGAAUGGUGUAGGUAAUGAUCAUAUUCCUGUUCCACAUGAUGAGAUUAGAAUUUGUGGAAAAUACCUUUCUCCAUGAUUAUAUAUAGGGGAAUGCAUUAUACUAGCCAACAAUAUGAGAACAUGCCGCCACCAUUCAAUAUCAAUCUUUCAUAUUCAAGAUCUCCUAUUCCACUCUCCACAUGCAGAAUUUCUGUCACUUCCCAUUGAUUGGUAUCAAGAUCAGAUUCAAACGAUAUAUUUGUGUGAUUUACCCAUAAUUUUAAAGAUGGGUCAAAAAGUUGGCAUUAAGGAACUUCAGAGCCUAAAAGUAGUAUCAUUGAAAAUAAUCCAUUAAAAUUUUAAAAGAAUGUCUACAAAUGUGCAUUAUCUUACUCAGAAUAACUUGCUUAGUAUGCUCUUAUAGUAUGACACAUUUACACAUGGUAUAUGAGUCACUUUAUAGACCAUAGGUGGCGGCCACGUUGAUGCACUAAAGCUUAUCCAAAUAUAUCAAUCCCCACUAAUCCAAUAAUUAGCCAAUUACCCACAUAAUUAUAAAUUAUUUCAAAUUACUUAAAAUUCUAUUUAUUUUUAAUACACUUUACAAAUCCUACUAUCAUUGUCAUAUGGUACCAUAUAAAAUUAAUACAUACACUAUUAUUUCAUUAAAAUAUCCAUGUAAAAAUACAUAUAUUUUCUUAACUUAUAAUUUUCCUAAUCUCAAAUAAAGAGUAAAAAUUGUCGUACGCCUAAUUCUUAACACCGCAAAAUUUUGCUUUGUGAGGAUAAUUCGAUAAUUUCACUUAAGACCAUAUACAAAUAUUAAAGAUAUUAGGUAUGUGCUUCCACAUCUAUUUGUCUAUCUUCCAUGUCUAAUUGUCUAUCGACGUGAAAGCAUUCCAGGUGCUAAGAUUAGAUCAAAAGUCUUCUAAUCCAUAUCCUAUGAAAGAACCAUAGGUCUUCGACUAGGUUAGAUUACCAUAAAAAUACUAUUUAAUCUUAUGAUAAAAAAAACUUUAUUUAUAAACUCCCACAUGUCAUGUAUAUAAUUUAAAACUUAUUAUAACCAUAUAAAAUAGUAUUUAUAAACUUUUACCGAAAAUGAUUUACUUCAAAGAAAAUACAUAUCAAGCCAAUAUAUAGUAGUUCCAAAAUUCUUCAAACUCACAAGGUCUUACAUCCAUAUCGUCAUAUAUAACCUUAAUCCUUUCCAACUCAUAUGUUAUUACUUCGACGAAUCCUAAAGUUGAGGUACGGGAUGUAACAUCCUUCCCCCUUUUAAAACAUUCGUCUUCGAAUGUUAACUCUUUGAUAUUUUCAAAACUUUCACUAAGGCCUCCUCUAUAUAUUAAACUAAAACCCAACCUCUAUCUGAGCUCUGGACUAUUCACAACCUUUUGUACUUGAAUAUCUCGCAUCUUCUUCAUCUUUAACUUACUUACCUUUCAAUCUCUCAUCGUAUCUUCUGUUUUUUAUCAUAAUCUCCCUUCCACAUUACGCCUUAAAGCUCUACUGUGAUAGCACCUUUGGUGCAUAUAAAAUUUAGUGAAAGCUUGAUACUGACUUCUUACGACUUAGCUCUAUGGCACGAUUUGGAAACAAAAGAAGGGUAACAUUUUUUAAAUUCCCUAUAGCCUCUCAAUUAUAAAUGUGGGGCACAAUAUACCCAUAAGUGAAACUCUACUAGGCACGGCUUUGUAGAACCCCUAGGACACGACCCGCUCUGAUACCACUUUGUCACCCCCCGAACCUGGGAGGUGUGGCUGACACUCGGUACCGUAGUGGUCCGAGCGAACCACUUUGUAACUCAUUCAUUCCUUUUGUAACUAUCAUGGGCCAACAUGGGCACAACUCGAAAUGUACAACUGUAAGUGAAAAACACAAUUUCGCUGAAGCAUUUUUUUAAAAAACAAGAAUAAAUAUGGGCCGGCAAGGCCUCUCACAUACUGUGAAAAGUGAAUAUGUGUCUACAAAGCCUCUAAGAUUAUUUAACAUCAAAUGGGAUAGGGUACCAGCCUACCCAUAUGUCUGUAGAAAAACUCUAACACGAUAACUCAUAGACUCGACUGCACUCUGAAUGAGGUGGAGUCUUAUCGAUCCGCCGUUGAACGCAGACCUCGUCUAUUAUGAGGGUUCGUCAAUCUGAUUAUAUAUACUUGCAGACAUGAGUGCAGUGUCCCCAACAAAAGGACGUCAGUACGAAUAAUGUACUUAGUAUGUAAGGCAAAACUAAAACAUAACAGUAUGUUAAUAUUAAUUAAGGACAUAGAAAAAAUAUAGAGUAAAUGACUCAACCUAUAAAUCUGAAUAGCUCUGUAAUACUGAAAUAUUUAUAGUAUCAUGCAUAUGCGUAUAAAUAUCAUGUAAUGCAUAGGUCUGUAUGUACAGAACAUCAUAAAGUCUCUGAGGGCAUCCCAUCAUAUCAUCUCAGCCACUUUGGGCAAAUCAUCAACGUAUACCAGCUGAUCAGGUGGUGGUGCGUAUAUAAGGCUAUAAUCUUUUUCAAUAUUCCAUAUACAUAUAUAUACAUAAAUACACAUAUAUAACGCCAUGUGAGUCAUGGGUAAAUGCAACAUGUGAAUGAAUGCAAUGCAUGAGAAGUACGUUAAUAAAAUCUUUCGGAAUGUCAUAAGACCAUUAUGCAUUUGAUUAUUAUCAUGAAAUAAACAUUACCAACUUGUGUAUUUUCUGAGACCCGUGAACAUAUGAUUAAAUAAUAGGACACAUGGGAAUUCAAGAAUAUAGACACCUCUAAUACUUUUAUGAAAAGCGUCAUUUAUGGAAGUUGUACAUUUUCUCGUUUCGUUUGUAUUGUAUGAAUCAUGCCAAAAGAAAGAAUGGAUAGCCUUAACAUACAUAAUUUUGUAAAUUUGAACACCUCUUAAAUUUUGCAAAAAUCCUAAAGAAAUAGGAAUUGAACCACCUAUUUCAUUAUCAUGUAAACUAAGUUUUCUGAGAGCCUGAAACUGACCAAUUUUUUUCACUUAGUCUACCACUUAGUCCUUUUAAUGGAAUCUUGAUUACAAUAACUUGACCUUGAGCACAUUUAAUACCAACCCAACUUCCUAAACAAGCUCCAACUCCAGUGUCAUUCCAACUUUUUAAGAUAUUGAACAAACAAUAUUUCUUCAUUCAGGGUAACUCAUCAGCCAUAUUAUUGGUUAUCGACCUCAGGUUAGAGAACUUCUUAGUUUAUCAUUAUUCCACUUCCGCAGUGCAGUUUAGAGAACAAACACACAAGUGCACUGAGUCUGACGCAUGACAACUCCAAGCAUCUUUCAGCUUUAAGUGUAUCUUUUCAUUCUUUCCUAUUUUUGCAUAGGUUGACAUAGGAGAACAUUUAAGUGAAAUAUAUGUGCACAAAAGUCAGAAAAUACAUUCAUGAAUGGCACAUCAUGAACUGUAAGAAUAUCUAGACAGGAGUGAAGACUAUGAAAUGGUAAAAUGUCACAUUCUGGCUCUUAUUGAAUGGUGUAGGUAAUGAUCAUAUUUCUUUUCCACAUGAUGAGAUUAGAAUUUGUGGAAAAUACCUUUCUCCAUGAUUAUAUAUGGGGGAAUGCAUUAUACUAGCCAACAAUAUGAGAACAUGCCGCCACCAUUCAAUAUCAAUCUUUCAUAUUCAAGAUCUCCUAUUCCACUCUCCACAUGCAGAAUUUCUGUCACUUCCCAUUGGUUGGUAUCAAGAUCAGAUUUCAAACGAUAUAUUUGUGUGAUUUACCCAUAAUUUUAAAGAUGGGUCAAAAAGUUGGCAUUAAGGAACUUCAGAGCCUAAAAGUAGGUCCAGUAACUUUUCAUGAGACAUAUCAUUGAAAAUAAUCCAUUAAAAUUUUAAAAGAAUGUCUACAAAUGUGCAUUAUCUCACUCAGAAUAACUUGCUUAGU